AGAGAAUUGAAUCGUAUUCUUCGUAUAAUUUUGGAAAUAGGGUCCAACCGUCUCUACCAAACUACCGUAAAUAGUUUGACUACGAGGAAGAGAAUGCCUGUC
rfam:Paenibacillus dendritiformis C454 PDENDC1000074, whole genome shotgun sequence.